CCUAUCGAACCAGUUGGCGCACAAUGCUUUCUCUCGCGACGCACCCACCUCACCAAUUGUGAUUUUUAAAGCGAUUUGCUGUGCUUUCGACCACCUCGUGUUGUUUGUUGGAAUCGUUCUGUCGACGUAGAGCUCGUGCAUCGUGUUCCCAGUUGCAUCCUCCUCCCCCAGUUGAGGUGAUAUCACGAAGCCUCUCAGUGUGGGGAGCUUUCGCCCGUGGCAACGAAAUAACCGACACCCGAAGGCAGCAGCGUCAGGAUCCAUCGGGCGGUGAGAAACCAAAAAAAUCGAAUUUCUGCGACAGUGGUUGAAGGAAUCCGGCGGCUGCUUUACCUUUCGGCUCCUCCCCCAGCAUGGCCCAUCAUUGAACUGGUCAUGUUGUCCCUGUUUCCGCGUCCGUUAUGUAAAGGCUUCGUUGCUUUGCAGCCGUGACUCAAUCACUCUGCUUUAUUUGCGCUGGGGCUUGAUAAGUUCCGUUUUCAGCCUUCGGUUGUGUAGAUAGUUAGUCCCUCGUGUAAUCGUCCUCCUCCGUCGCGAUGGACAUGUUGGUGCUGUUUCCGCUGGAGUUUUUGGCCAAUUUUCCUGCUGGCAAUCCGGUGCUGAAUGUGCUGAAAGCGGGGAAAGACGUCGCUGGGGCGAAGAAUCUCAUUGCGGCGGUUGAGGAAGGCGAGGAUUUGACGCCCAGUCGAAGACUCGAGGUUGCGAAGGCGCCGUCUCUGAGCUCCAUGCCUAAGAAGGGACUUCUAGGAUGAGGAGCUGUUGGGGCCAUGGCCUGUCGCUUGUAACAUAGUGAUGUCUGACGGAGUAUUCUGUAUCUAGAAUAAUAUUGGGGUAUUUGCCAGGGGAGAUUGUCUUAAGAGUUCGCCGCGAGCUCGGUGGCGGUGACACCAGUGCAAUGAUUUGCGCUUCAUCAGCGAGUGCGAGAGUGGAGAUGUCUCGGUCAUCGAUGCUUUGAGCAAUGGCUCAGAUCUACACCAACAAGGACAACUUCAACAGAAUGUGGAAUAAGAGAUCCCAGCUUUCGGAUCCAACUGGCAACGUGCUCUUCCAGCGCUCUUCAUGGUCCGACAGUAUCAGAAUAUUCGUGUAGGGCGUCGACGUUUGUACAGAUCGUGACAUGGUGUAAAAAGAAAAAAAAAAAAAAACUGAAACUGCAACCAGCAAUCAGAUCAGCGUGUGUACAAAGUCGUGUUAUGUCCAUAAGUUUGCAAUUUUCUAGAGGUUUUGAUUAUUUAUUCAGGCAGCGCAGUUAUGAUCUACACUUCUUCUCUGUUAUGUGUACAAGCUGUACAAACAGCGGUUGACUGGAAGAGUUGCGCUAUUGCACUUGUGAAUAUU